rnacentral:rRNA from 1 species
GUCGAGCGGAUGACGGGAGCUUGCUCCUUGAUUCAGCGGCGGACGGGUGAGUAAUGCCUAGGAAUCUGCCUGGUAGUGGGGGACAACGUUUCGAAAGGAACGCUAAUACCGCAUACGUCCUACGGGAGAAAGCAGGGGACCUUCGGGCCUUGCGCUAUCAGAUGAGCCUAGGUCGGAUUAGCUAGUUGGUGGGGUAAUGGCUCACCAAGGCGACGAUCCGUAACUGGUCUGAGAGGAUGAUCAGUCACACUGGAACUGAGACACGGUCCAGACUCCUACGGGAGGCAGCAGUGGGGAAUAUUGGACAAUGGGCGAAAGCCUGAUCCAGCCAUGCCGCGUGUGUGAAGAAGG